UUGAACGCUGGCGGCAUGCCUUACACAUGCAAGUCGAACGGCAUCGCGGGAAAGCUUGCUUUCCUGGCGGCGAGUGGCGAACGGGUGAGUAACACAUCGGAACGUACCGGCUAGUGGGGGAUAACCCGUCGAAAGACGGGCUAAUACCGCAUACGCUCUUCGGAGGAAAGCAGGGGACCUUUGGGCCUUGCGCUAGCCGAGCGGCCGAUGUCCGAUUAGCUAGUUGGUGGGGUAAAGGCCUACCAAGGCGACGAUCGGUAGCGGGCCUGAGAGGACGAUCCGCCACACUGGGACUGAGACACGGCCCAGACUCCUACGGGAGGCAGCAGUGGGGAAUCUUGGACAAUGGGGGCAACCCUGAUCCAGCAAUGCCGCGUGGGUGAAGAAGGCCUUCGGGUUGUAAAGCCCUUUCGGCAGGGAAGAAAUCGGCGGGGCGAAUAACCCUGCUGGAUGACGGUACCUGCAGAAGAAGCACCGGCUAACUACGUG
rnacentral:rRNA from 1 species